GAUGAACGCUGGCGGCGUGCCUAAUACAUGCAAGUCGAGCGAACAGACGAGGAGCUUGCUCCUCUGACGUUAGCGGCGGACGGGUGAGUAACACGUGGAUAACCUACCUAUAAGACUGGGAUAACUUCGGGAAACCGGAGCUAAUACCGGAUAAUAUAUUGAACCGCAUGGUUCAAUAGUGAAAGACGGUUUUGCUGUCACUUAUAGAUGGAUCCGCGCCGCAUUAGCUAGUUGGUAAGGUAACGGCUUACCAAGGCGACGAUGCGUAGCCGACCUGAGAGGGGGAUCGGCCACACUGGAACUGAGACACGGUCCAGACUCCUACGGGAGGCAGCAGUAGGGAAUCUUCCGCAAUGGGCGAAAGCCUGACGGAGCAACGCCGCGUGAGUGAUGAAGGUCUUCGGAUCGUAAAACUCUGUUAUUAGGGAAGAACAAAUGUGUAAGUAACUAUGCACGUCUUGACGGUACCUAAUCAGAAAGCCACGGCUAACUACGUG
rnacentral:rRNA from 1 species